rnacentral:misc_RNA from 1 species
UAACGGCGAGUGAAGCGGCAACAGCUCAAAUUUGAAAUCUGGCUCUCGGGCCCGAGUUGUAAUUUGUAGAGGAUGCUUUUGAUGCGGUGCCUUCCGAGUUCCCUGGAACGGGACGCCAUAGAGGGUGAGAGCCCCGUCUGGUUGGAUGCCAAAUCUCUGUAAAGCUCCUUCGACGAGUCGAGUAGUUUGGGAAUGCUGCUCUAAAUGGGAGGUAUAUGUCUUCUAAAGCUAAAUACCGGCCAGAGACCGAUAGCGCACAAGUAGAGUGAUCGAAAGAUGAAAAGCACUUUGAAAAGAGAGUUAAAAAGUACGUGAAAUUGUUGAAAGGGAAGCGUUUAUGACCAGACUUGGGCUUGGUUAAUCAUCUGGGGUUCUCUCCAGUGCACUUUUCCAGUCCAGGCCAGCAUCAGUUUUCGCCGGGGGAUAAAGGCUUCGGGAAUGUGGCUCUCUCCGGGGAGUGUUAUAGCCCGUUGCGUAAUACCCUGGCGGGGACUGAGGUUCGCGCAUCUGCAAGGAUGCUGGCGUAAUGGUCAUCAACGACCCGUCUUGAAACACGGACCAAGGAGUCGUCUUCGUAUGCGAGUGUUCGGGUGUCAAACCCCUACGCGUAAUGAAAGUGAACGCAGGUGAGAGCUUCGGCGCAUCAUCGACCGAUCCUGAUGUUCUCGGAUGGAUUUGAGUAAGAGCAUACGGGGCCGGACCCGAAAGAAGGUGAACUAUGCCUGUGUAGGGUGAAGCCAGAGGAAACUCUGGUGGAGGCUCGCAGCGGUUCUGACGUGCAAAUCGAUCGUCAAA